UACGGGGGGAGCAAGCGUUGUUCGGAUUUACUGGGCGUAAAGGCUCGUAGGCGGCCAACUAAGUCGGAUGUGAAAUCCCCAGGCUCAACCUGGGAACUGCAUCCGAUACUGGAUGGCUUGAAUUCGGGAGAGGGAUGCAGAAUUCCAGGUGUAGCGGUGAAAUGCGUAGAUAUCUGGAGGAAUACCGGUGGCGAAGGCGGCAUCCUGGACCGACAUUGACGCUGAGGAGCGAAAGCCAGGGGAGCAAAGCGGG
rnacentral:rRNA from 1 species